CUUUGAUAAAAAAGUUUAAUUAUGGAUUUCCACUAAGUCAAAUUUUUCAAGUUUUGUUUCUAUGGUGCACACUAUAUAAUAUUUUGAGGAUAAAUCUUGGCUUUCUGGGUAUUAUGAUUUUGUUUUAAGACCACAUACAUUUAAUGAUCACACAGUUAAAUUGUUAAAAAUUUUAAUCAAGCAUGUAAGAACAAACAUUCAAAUUCAAGUUUGUGUUUGUUGGUAAAGAAGGGCGCGCGUUUUCAGCAGAGUCUGUGUCGCUUUAUGAAGAAAGGGAAAAUGGUUGAUCAACAUAUUCGCAACGCGUUUUAGACAAGGAGCAUUGUAAAUACACACAAUCGGCACAAAACGCCACGUUCCUGGUGUGUCCCUAGAAAAACGUCGUAGUAGAGUUCUAAACAGAUAGUGACGCCGAAAAUAGCAUCGUAACAUUCCUGCUGCCGUUUUUGUCACGAGUCGCCUUGAUAUCAAGCCACAUGUCCUUGCUUGCUUCGCUUAUCCCGCAAUAUUCCGAAGUGAGUGCUUUUCAACGUGACGCAGAUCAGACAAUGCUACAAGUAUCAUCCGCCCGAGUGUGGUGCCUUAUGAACGGGCAAAGGUGCGCCGGCCGAUUCUCAAAGCUUCAACUAUACUGUCGGCCAAGAGUCAUAUUGAGUUUGCUAGUCAAGAACUCUCGGAUCGUUUGUGUACAGUCCACGUAACCAGCAGAAUCCACUGAAAAUAAGUUUAUUACGAACGAAACGGACUUACAUGUCAAGACUUUUGUACACUAUGAGUCGUCUACGAGCCUCUGUGACGUCAUUGAUUGCUUUUGACGGAUUAAGACAGUGAUUAAAACAAUCACAUUUGUAGUUCAAAGCAUAAUGUGUUGAUAUCAUAUCGAAAGGAUAGUUGAACUUAUGCAGUUCAUAUAUUCGAACUGCGUAUGGGAUGUGGCGGAAAACAGCCGGAAGUCACCCUGGUGAAGGUGGGGUGAGGACAUUACCGACGAGUCACUGUUCGAAUCGUUCUUUCGCUUUGAAUCUUGUGUUUUCCAAUCACUUGAGCUGGACAGAGAACUUAUUUACCUGUGAAGUGGUUAGCCAUUUAACGAUUCGAAAAAGCAAUGUUAAGUUAAACAUAAGAAAACCCAUGACGAUUAUCGUCGACAGUGAAAUGGUGUUCGAGUGUUCUAAUCAAUGUGAUGACAUAUUUUCAUGUGUGCACAAAAAAAUACACCUUGCCCGUAGCCGCUCAUUUCAACAGAACUGGAUUUAUCCAACAGGAAGUACUUGAGGAAGUGCACCAAACAAAGGGAAGGCACAAGUGGACUGGUUAUCAACACUUGAACCUCAAUUGAAAGAAGGCAGUGAUGUUCUAAGUGUUGUAUCAUCUGGCGAUAUUGACAGUGUUGUAAUACAUAUGAUGAUAUUAUCAUUACGGUGGCCACGAAAGGACGAUGGUACAUUCAAGACACCUGUGUAUGUUCUCCUCCAGGAGUCAAGUCAGACAUAUACAAAAUAACAGACUUGAUACAAUACUUGGAACAAACACUGGGAUUCAAAUAUGCUGCAGUCUAUAUUGCAACAGUUUGUUUACUUCAUCCCAAAGUUACAAGACAAGACACAUGAAAAAUGGAUGAGCAUUUUCCUGAAUGACAAAGGGCUACUGGAAAGACUAGUUCAUAUUCAAGAAACAGAAGGGUUUCCGACAAAAGAUGAGGGAGUGUAUGUAACUGCUCUUAAAAGACUGUAUACCAGGACUUAAUUCGUUGGAUUUGUCAUUCGCAGAGGUACGUCAACUUUCCAUCAAUGUACCAGGCAAGAAAGAGUUCAGAACCCCACACUUUGGAUGCCACCAUAUUCAGCUGUGCAAUCCCUUAUCAGACUCGUAGACUGUCAGCUUGAAUAUAUGUUGACUGCAUGGACUCACAACGCGGAAUUACCACACUUCCCUGGGAAGGGGUGCCUAACAAAGGACGCUUACACUGGUAAUGUCAGUUACGACUUUGGAAAAAAAAGUUACAUCGACGAAAUAGAUGAUCUUCAGAUAGUUGAAGAUCUUCUUUCCCAAAAAAUAGGAAGAGGUCUGAAGAAGGCGAAGUCAAAAAGAAAUCUAGGAAACCGUACGCCACAGAAAGAAGUCUGCGUAAAGCGCAAGUCACAGAGACCUACCCCAAGAAAAAGGAAGAGAUCGCAAUGUGUGAAGGCACUACAGCUCCAACCAGAAACAGAAUCAUAAAGUAUAUGCAGUCUGUUACAACGUACUUGGAUUUUAAUAGGAGCUAUCAAAAGCAGAGACGUUAUGCAAAACUGAGUGACGAGUUUGACAAUAUGUGACCGCGUUUAGUAUACAUUUAAAAAGACAAUAAUAUAAUUAUGAUGUGUUACUCUGAGCGGAUGAAAUGAUUGCUAAUUUCGUUUUUCAAGACACGUGUACCUAAAAACAGUCAGCGAACUUUCAGUGUAAAUAAAUGUAUUUUUGUUUGAUGAACUAAACUUUUAAAAAGAUGUUAAUCGUGUAUUAAGAAACAAUCAUCUGGAUAUUUCAAAGUGUGAUUUACUGUACUUUGAAGGAUACGUAAAUGGGGUAUAGUAUCAACAAAGCACGGUUAUUACAAAAAUGUGAUAAACUGUACUUUAAAGGAUCUAUACAUGGUGUGUAUUAUUAUGAAAGCAUGGAUAUUACAAACAUGUGAUCAACUGUACUUCGAAGGAUACAUGAAAGGUGUAUAUUAUUAAGAUAGCAUAGAUAUUACAAAAAUGUGAUAAACUGUACUUUGAAGGAAAGAAACAAUGAAUACUACACAAAUGUGAUAGACUGUUCUUUGAUGGAUACAUCGGAUGCAGGAUGUUUAAUUACUAUUAAGAAACUAAAGAUCUUAUGAAAAUGUGUUUUCAACAGUCUGGGUUCAAUCACUAAAUAUAUUCCGAUCGGGCUAUAGUAGUAUUUCUUUAAAUUGUACAUUUUUGUUAGUUUAGUUUUCAAUAAUGAUUUCACAUAAAAACUAUUUUACCAUAAAGCUAACACCAUCUUAUCAGUUUGAAAAUAGAAGGGCACUUCAAAAGGGAGAAAAAACAUCUGCCCCAUGUUGGAUUCGAAUCCAUGUUGCAUCAGGUAUUGACUGACAAUUGUUAAGCUAACUUACGUGUUAGAACACGUUUCUAUCAAUAUUUCACAAAAAAUAAUGUUAUAAUAGUCUUAAUGUAACAAGAUAUGGAUUGAUAAUCUAGAGGUAAAUGUAUUGAUCUAAAUGGUGGAAAAUCUAGAGCUAAAUGUGCAAACAAAUAAAGACAAAAGUAGUGUAUACGCUGCAAGCAGAUCAAGAAGUAUAAUUUUUAUUUAAAAAAGUUUGCGUAUUCCGUCAGGUUCUGAUUUAGAAAUUAUUGUAGUGAAUACACAAUAAUACUGUCAUUGCUCUGAAUAUUAGACCGGUUGUAUUUACCAUUUUUAUACCUUUUCUGUACAUAUUGUAACUUAUAACAGAAGGGAAUAGUAACAUUAUAUACUGUGAACUCAUUACAAACCAAUAUUUAGCAAGGGGAUUAUUCAUAGCCAUGUCUAUUAAUAUCUAUUUUUUCAGUAAAAUAAAUUCAAAUCUAUGUUUUCAAUUAAAUAUAAACCGGAAAAGUGGCUCAUUUUAAAGUCUCGAUAUCAAUUAAUUAAUGCUCUUAUUUUUUAAGUCAGAUUCAAAUUUUAUGCUUUAUUCAUAAAUACAUUUUUAUACAAUUAUCAUAAUCUAAAACUGCAUAUAUAUGUAUUCAGUUAUUGAUUAUUAAGUCAUAUGUAGCUAAAUUGUAUUUUACAAAAUAAAAAGAAUUAUGACCUGAUUACUUUCAGGUAAGUGAUUUGUUUCAUUCUCAUCUGAUUAUUUGCAAAUUGAUAAUAUUGUGAUCUCAGAAAAUUAAAACACAGGAGAACACAUUUCAUCUUUCUUAUCAGUUGUAAUCAGCACACACAGUGCUGGCUGGUCGCAAGCAGAUAUCAAAUUACCCUGCUCCACAGUGUUUAAUUGCCAAGCAAUUAAUUAUGGA